CGUGGUUCUUCCCGUUUCACAGGUGAGGGACCUAGAGCUACACGGCUCGCCUUAGGUCCCAGGUAGGAAGUGGCAAGCAGCUUUGAAGCCAGGUAGUCUGGCUCCAAGAACAAACUCACAUCCACUGAAAAUAUUGAAAAUAGCCUAGAGAAGGUAAGCUCCAAGUAAAAGGAAAAUCUGCAUUGUCAAAGCAGGCCAAGCAUGGAAGAACGCUCAUUUAUUUUCCCAAAAGAUUAUUUUCUGUGGUCUUCCCUUCAUAAACACACAUCCCACUCUCAGAUGCAAAUCCUAGAGCUAGAAAUGGGGCAUUCAAGGUAGACAGAGCUCCUGGGAACAGCACGUUUGCAGAGAUGGGAAGGGAACCUCCCACUGGUUUUGGUUUCUCCAUGGCUACAGGCAAAGCCUGCCUGCUCUGCAUCCGGGGAUCUUGGUCAGGUGUUGGAAUCGGUGGGUGGAUUGCCAGUACAUUUGCACCGUGUCCUAGAGAGCCUCUAUGCAUUUCAACUCUGAUUCUCCUUCACCAUCUACGCGCAGCCCACAACCGCAGGACCCCACCCCUGGCUCUGAAUCUCCCAUGUCCUGGCGCCAAGCAGGUGAGUCAGCCUAGGAGGAGGAAGGGCUUCCGGAAGCCAAGCCCAUGCUGGGGUGGUGAGAAACAACUUUCCUAUGCAAGGAGGUGCCUGAGCACCCCCUGAUGAUCAAGCUGGAGCCCCCUCACCUCCCCGAAGUGUGCUGGAGGAAAGGCCAGAAAGAGGCAGCAGUCUUCACCCACUGAGGCUGAGUUUCUCACUCAUGCCAAGUUUUACAUAAGCUGGGGACCAUGUGCUUCAAGGCUAGAGGUCUUGGUGGGCCCAGGGCCUUGGAGGGGCCUGGAUGACCAAGGGGUCCGUGGCUUAGGCCCUGGCUCUGCAUGGGGAAUCUUGGGAAGGUUGGAAGCCCACAGCCCCUACUGAGAAAGGAGCCACGGGCCAGAUCUUUUGCACAAAUCCUGCCUGUGCUCCUUGACUGUCUCUCCCCACCGGGGUCACGGUGACCAAGCAGGCAGGAGACUCCAUCCGUUCACAGGACUAGCAUCCUGGGAGGGCCCUGGCCUGAGCGAGCUGCUGCAGGGGACCCUCAUGCUGGAUGGUUGGCCACUCAGCACCCUUUUCUCUGUGGAGCAGGGAUGACAUUUGAGAGCCACCAAAGAUGGGCAGGAAAAACAAAGGCCACCACAGAGGAAGCUGAAGGCAGAAAGAGAUGCAGAGAAAGUGGGAGAAACUCGGCUGUGCUUUGUGGGGGCCCUGCAGGGACAUCAGCUCCUGAAGGGGUGAAAGAAAGGGUCCCCUGAACUUUGACACUGUUCUUCUCGAGGCCUGGCCAGCCCUGUGGCUCCUUAGAGGAAUCUGGGUGCCUGCUGUCCCUAGUACCUGACAAGCCCCAGGUGAGAAGACCUGAGUUCACCUGCGCUGCCACGUGUAACCUGAUGGCCCCGGCACCCUCGCAGGGUUUGAAUAGCUGCCCUUUCCACCUGUUUCCCGGAUUUUCCACACCACCCAGAGGCUCAUAUUCAACCCCACAGCCUACAAGUCAGCCAGGGGCCUUUGGCCACAUGUACUGAUGAUGAGAAUCACUGGAUUGUAAGCUGUAAAAGCACAAGGAUGGUGUUUUGUUCCCCGCUACCCCCUGCACCUGAGGCCCAGCGAGGAUUGCUGCUCGGAUGAAGGAGAGCGAGUGUUCGUGGAGCUCUUUGCAGAAGCCACGGGAAGCCCUUCCUGUGCCUUCUCAGGUUUAGUCUCAGACAGCCCCACUUUCCAGAUGAGGAAACAGAGGCUAAGAAAGGAGAAUAAACUUGUCCAGAAUCAGUGGUGAAGCUGGGAUUUGAACCCCAUCCUGUUGGACUCAACACUUCCUCUGAAAAGACAGGAUAAGGGAGCUGCCUACUUCUGGCUUUGGGAACCGGCAGAGAGGAGCAGAGUUGGGCCAGACGCGUCACCUCCCAAGCUCUGCGGCACCCAAGGGUUCCCAGGGUCCUCUUCCUCCAUUUGGCUCUUUUCUUCUCUGGACUCUCCCACCUUCGAGGAUUGGACUCCUUGCAGGGAGAGCAAAGCAGAGAACAGAGGAGGCCCAUCUGAGGAGAGAGUGCUGGAGCAGAUGGAGCACAGAGAGAGCCCCCAAACCUUAGCCUCACCUGGAGAGUGGCUCCCUGCAAGCUGAGCCCCUGUGUGCCCAGAAGUGACAUAGGCAUUCAGGAAAGGGACUGAGGGAGGAAAGAAGGAGCCAUUCCUCUUCCCAGGGGCGCCUGCCCUGGGUUCCUGAGGGACGCUCCAUGUUUACAUCUCCAAAGCCCAGUCCCAAACACGCCAGAGUGCAAUGCCCUCCCUCAGACCCAGGGCCAUCCUCAGAGCAGCCGGGAGGCAGCCUGUCCACCCUUACCACAGGCAGGUCGCCCAGGCAGCCUCCUCUUAGAGCUCCUGAAUUCUGGAGCAUGAAAUAGAAAUGUGAAAAACAGGCUGGCGUGGUGGCUCACACCUGUAAUCCCAGCACUUUGGGAGGCUGAGGUGGGCAGAUCAUUUGAGAUCAGGAGUUUGAGACCAACCUGGCCAACACAGUGAGACCCUGUCUCUACUAAAAUACAAGUAAAUAAGCCAGGCAUGGUGGUCCACACCUGCAGUCCCAGUUACCUGGGAGGCUGAGGCAGGAGAAUCAUUUGCAUCCAGGAGAUGGAAGUUGCUGUGAGCUGAGAUCGCACCGCUGCACUCCAGCCUGGGCAACAGAGUGAGACUCUGUCAAAAAAAAAAAAAAGAAUGAGAGAGAAAAUAAAUACUACAAAAUGUUAACAAUGGGUGAAUGUAGGUGAAGAGUAUGUGGCAGGGUGUUUUUUAUUCUCGCAAAUUUUGUGUAGGUUUGAAGUUACCACAGAAUAGCAAAUAUAAGAAUGAUUCCUGCAGACACACGAGUGAUUUCAACUGUUCACAGGGCUCAGGCAGGAAGCAGAUCUCUUGCCCUCCCUCUGAUCCAGGUCACUUAGUCCAGUCCCUGAAAGCAGUGGAUGGACAACCAUGCCACCCUCUUUCUUCCAAUACACCUUAUUUUGUAUCCUGCCCUUUUUGUGUAGCAUUAGAUCAUGAGCAUUUUCCUCUGCUAUAAAUGUCCCCUCAAAUAUGUUGUUUCUUGUGACUCCCUAGUGUUCUACCCACGAUUUCCUCGGCUGCUCCACCUUGGUGGAAUUCAGUGAUUCUUCUGCCUUUUCACCAUUGUAAGUGAUGCUUUGAUGAAAAGCUUUGUAGGUUUAUCUGUGCUGCACCUCUGACCAGUCUUUUCUGGAAGACUCUAAGGAAGGAGACAGGGGCAUGGACCACUGGCUUUUGAAGGCAUUCGGUGGGUCCUGCCAUGCCGCCUUCCCACAUUCCAGAAGGGUGGUCCCAGUGAACAACCCACCAGCACGGGGCCCCGCUCCAUGGUGCCCCAGCAAGGCCAGCGUCCCUAUACAGGAAAAUUAAACCAUUUGCCAAUUCAAGGCACUCCAGAUGGAUCUCUCUGUUUUCUUUGAUGACUGAUGUGUCCUUUUUUGUUUCCUUCAGAGCACUAAGACUGUGCAUUUUCCCA
rnacentral:lncRNA from 1 species